CCAGUGAUGAUGAAAUUGCUAUACCGUAAGAAGAGCCAUCAUGAUCAGUUGACUCUUUUAUGAAAUUUAUUACGCUUGGCUUCUGAACUUC
rnacentral:snoRNA from 1 species